CCAGAUAUAAAUGUCUUUGUGCCUCUCUCUGCCUCACUCUGAGCUCAGAGGUCUCUGCCUGCAGGUGUUCAGCUGACACAAUGAUGUCUCUGCCCCUUCUCUGGCUGCUGGUGCUCUGGGCUCGGGCUUCCUAUGGCAAAGUUGUGCUGACACAGUCUCCAGCCUCCUUGUCUGCAUCUCCAGGAGACAGAGUAACCAUGAACUGCAAGGCCAGUGAGAGUAUUACAGAUAGUGCUGAUGAUGACCUAUUAAGCUGGUUCCAAAAGAAGCCUGGUCAGCCCCCUAGACCCCUCAUCUACUGGGCUAAGAACCUGGAAUCUGGGGUCCCUGCCCGGUUCAGUGGCAGCGGGUCUGGGACGGAUUUCACUCUCACCAUCAGUGGUAUGGAGGCUGAGGACUCUGCAGUCUAUUACUGUUACCAGCAUUUAAAAAUGCCUCCCACAGUGAUAUAUUCUCGAACAAAAACCUCCCAAGACUCAGGCAGGGGAUCAGUGAAGCUUCAAUAGCCCAGCAACUUCCCC